GCCCGAUCUCCGUCUGGGAAAUCUCCUCGAAGAACGGCCUGAACAACAACAUCAUCAGCACACAGGACCUGAGUUUGGGUUUGGGUGUGCUGACUAAGAUAUCGUUGUCGUCCAGCUCCGGGCCGCUGUCACUCUGGUUGUACAUCUCCAGACUGUCGUAGAGCAGGUCCAGGUCCUCCUCGGCCUCCUGGCCCCCACCCACCAGGUCGGAGUCCAGAACCUGCAGCAGAUCACAUGGGCAGAGCCACAAACUUCUGUUUGAAGUUCGGUUGCUGAGAGAAGAAGAGAAAAAGAGAAGAAGAGAAGAGAGAUAUUUAGUUACCUGAUAAGACUGCAGUAAGUCCUUACUAUCUUUCAUUCACACACACUACAUCUAAUGCUGCACCAACAGCUACGCUUCAUUCCUGGAAACGGGAGGCUCCGAUUGGCUCCUUGAGUACCUGAGUCAGGGAGGCCGUCCGGACCAUCUUCCUGCGAG